GAUGAACGCUAGCGGCAGGCUUAAUACAUGCAAGUCGAGGGGCAGCGGGAGUAGCAAUACUUGCCGGCGACCGGCGCACGGGUGCGUAACACGUAUGUAAUCUGCCCAUCACAGGAGGAUAGCCCGGAGAAAUUCGGAUUAAUACUCCAUAAUAGAAGAUAAAGCAUUUUAUUUUCUUGAAAGUUCCGACGGUGAUGGAUGAACAUGCGACUGAUUAGUUUGUUGGUGAGGUAACGGCUCACCAAGACUACGAUCAGUAGGGGUACUGAGAGGUUAAACCCCCACACUGGUACUGAGACACGGACCAGACUCCUACGGGAGGCAGCAGUGGGGAAUUUUGGACAAUGGGCGCAAGCCUGAUCCAGCAAUGCCGCGUGCAGGACGAAGGCCUUC
rnacentral:rRNA from 1 species